rnacentral:rRNA from 1 species
AUGUGGUCUCUCGGCCGCACUUCGCUGUGCUAUCACCUGGUCCUGCUUCUCCUCCUUGCCGUGGUCACGGCGGAUGAUCCUAGCCUCGCCGAUGGAAGGAAGCUCAUUGACCCCAAGCCUUCCCCGAAACCCACUCCAAAACCGACGCCCCAACCCAACCCUAAAAUGCCGCACCCGAACCCAAACCCAAACCCAAAGCCCACGACUCCUGUAAAGCCGGAACCCAACCCAACUCCGGACCCAGAUGCCAAGCCACAACCAAAGCCAAUGCCAAAAAAAAAAACCAAAGCCAAUGCCUCAACCGGACCCGAAGCCAACUCCUGA